rnacentral:misc_RNA from 1 species
GGGUGGUUUGUUGGGGUUCAUCCAUGAAUCUUGGAAAUAUUUACAAAUGAAGAGAAAGGGCAGCUGAAAAACCUUUUGUCAUAAGUUAUCCUCUCCAAUUCAGCUACAAACCAUUUUAGGGAUCAUAGCAUACAAUCCUUGGCCUCAACCCAUGCUUGCUAUCAUGGUUCCUUCAGCAACUUUGAUAAUGAAUGGAAAAGGUUAAAAGUAACUACCACCCCCUUGUCACUAUAUCCUGGAAGUCCCAAGUUUCAUGGUAAAUAUCACAUCUCUUUUCAAUUGAUAGUAACCAUUAGUUGAAAAAAAAAGAGAGGAAAGCAUGGCCCUGCAUCAGAUUCAGCAACUACUUAUCUGCUUCCAUCAAGCCUGCUGAAAGCAUAAAACAGGCUGAUGUUUCUUAGAAACAAGACAAUCAUUCAGUUCCAAAAGAAUUGGCAGCAAGGACCUGACAGCCAACAAGAGGACCGUGGUUCUAUUAACAAAGUGAUGCUGUUAGAGAAUUCAAUUGCCAGGGCUCACUCAAACCAAUUUGGAAGCAAACAGUUGAUGCAUGCUUCAGCUUUACCAAUACUGUCUCAAUCUGUACAUAUCCUACAUAUUCUAGUAUCUUUUAUAGGCCUCUUUGAGAAUCAAUCAAACCUAUUAACUUGAGCAAAUAAAAACUGAGCCAACAAAACAACUGGCAUCAACAGAUUAUAAGUAGAAGAAUGCUAAAUUGUAAAGAAAAGGUUUUCCACCUCGAGAAAAAGGUAGGAUACAAUGUCUACAACCCAUUCUAACAAAUGAUCCCAGCCAAGUGAUGACUUAAGCCAAGCAAAUAGUCAUUGGUGGAGAUGAAUUGGUACAGAGGUGAAAGCACCAACAGAGGGCGGAAAAAAGAAUGCUCAAAAGCAAGCCAACUUUGUUUGAAAUGACCAAAAUCUUUGUCACCGAGGAACUGCAAAAUCUAGGAAAUGCCAAUGAAAAAGAAUGGAAGAAAAUCAGUAACUGGAGAAAAUUUAACUAAUAAUAGAAUGAAAUUUGGUCAAGUAACAUGAAGCUUAAAACAUGUUUAGAAAGGAAGGUGAAACACGGGAGAAAACAAGUUAACCAGGCAAGUACUGAAGGGAAAUGCGGUAAGAACACAGCAGCACAGGAACCAAAGUCAUCAAAGCUGCCCUGAAUGUCUAGUUGUCUACUUUCAUCUGAUUAUCCCAACAAUGUUUUCAAGAGUCCUAUGAGCUUCCUACUUAUUUCUAGUUCCUAAAUCCCAUCAUCCAUGGGUUUUAUGCCAUCAACAACAUCAAACAAAGCACUUGGAUAUAGAACUUAAAUUUCACAGAGGAGCAAACUUACAUGGCACCUGAUGACUUUCCCACCAAGGAAAAUCUUGCAAAAUAAAGGACCAAAAUGUGCACAAGAAAUGAUGUAAGUAGGACAUUGUUCCUGAAUUUCACAACAAUGUCUCCAAGGGAUUGAGUUGAUGGGCUAAAAAGAAGCAAAAUGUUUGAAUAAAUCUAAAAGCAUUUAGGAAUGGAACUUUCAUAUCCAUUGACUCUUCAUUUGUAUGCUGACCCUAUAAUCAGCAUUAGGAUUCAAAGUUCAAGCACAAGCCUAAAUUAUCUACUCCACCAGCAAAGAAGUGUCAGUUUUAAAAUCUACUAGUUGCACAAGUUCAACUAUUCUAAUUUCACAAGUCUUCUAUCUUCACUCUUCAAAAAUGUUUAACCUCAGCAGUAAACCAUGAUGACCAAGAAAAAAGAAAGAUACAAUCAAGAUCAUCUUGUUUGAAGGACAGCUUAUGGUUUUUAUUGCAUCUAAAAUGUCAAUGAUCAUUCUACACUUUAGUAAAUUAUGUUUCAGAACUACUUCUUAACAUCCCACGAAAUGGUAAAUAGAAAAGGCCAUUAUAGCUCCAACAACCCAUAAAGCCACAAACAACCAUUGUCAAAUUUCCAAGCAUAUAAUGGGAUUGGGGGAAUGAAAAAAAAUAAGAGAGAAAAGGCAAAUAACAGCAUUUGCUCAAACAAGUUUGCAUAUGCUGCAAGUUACAAAAACUGAAUUCAAGACUUAAAAAGGAUCUGAUUUCCUUUAUCAUCCAACAUGGAUCCGGUAGGCUGUCACAAUGGUGUUGCAAGCCCUUGAGAAAGCCAGCUCCAGCAAGAGGAAUCAACAGCAAUGCUGGAUUUGAGCCGAGCAUUGGCAAUAGCACUGUGAAGCGGCAUAAACGACUCCAAACUCCCAAAAACCGAUAGAACCCUUGAAGGAUUGGAGACAACUCGUGUUGAUGGCGAAGAGAAAGGAGAGGAAAUAGAUUUUGCCCUUAGGGUUUUCUGGGAUAGGUUUCUGGACCGAGACGCCAUGGACCUUGUGCCUGCCACUAUAGCUGAUCUACAAAACGAGGCCAUUUUCUGUGCCCAGAGGGCAAGGAUCUCCGAUCGACAGAGCGGCAGGGAAACGCUGCUUAAACGCUACACUUUUAACCCAGGAGACGAGAAUAUUUUUAACUUUUAAGUUGUUUCAACGGCGUCGUUGUAUGUAAAACACAUCGUUUUACGCAUCAUUAAACAAUCGGACACCAACUUGUUAUUAAAAAAAAAAUAAAAAGAAAUUCCCCAAUUUGUCAGG